rnacentral:lncRNA from 1 species
UCCUUUGUCCUUUCUAAAAACCCACUUGGUAAAAAUUUCAAAGGGUCCUCAUUUGCAGCCUCAAGGUAUGCAGCACUAACUGAUUCACUUGGUGCUCUCAAAACCCACAAGAACCUUUGACCACUCAAUUCCAAACCCGAAGCUAACUCAUUGAUUUGGUUCUGAGAGAGUGUUCCACCACUUCCGAAAGAAACAUACAACACUGAACUAGGUGGCUGCUUGUCCAACCAUUUUAAACACUUAUCAGACUCGUCAACUUCACUGCUUGACCCUUUUUGUGUAAUGGGUCCAACUGGGUACAAUCUGAUCUUUCCAUUUCCAAACUCUUCCAAUGCUCUUACAGCACCUGAUUCCAUUUCUAAGAAGGUGUUGAUCAAGAUCCCAUCAGUAGUUACCAUUGCCUUGGUAUCUUCAACAAAAUGCUUGUAAAAUUCACUAGAUCGAUCAUGGGAUGGAUCCGGAAGAUCACUCCCCAUGAAUGGUACACAACCUGGUAACCUUAUAGGUUCUGUUAGAUCCUUGUACGCACUUGAAACCUCCUCAUCAAGUUUUGACAUGUGUAGAAGCAGUGACAAUACCAUAGCUGAACUAGGGAAGUAAAAAUAGGACAGGGCAUUGAAUUCCUUAGCAAAUUCCAAUGCUUGAAGUGCAAGAACAUCUACCACCAACGCAGUUAAAGGGACUUUAGAGAACAAGGAUUUCAGCACCUCAUGUAUUGAUGGCAGAGAAUGAGAAAUAUUGAGUUGAAUUAGCUGUCCAAUGUAUCCUCCUUGGGAUAAUUGUUCUAUGCUAACUGGAGGAAGAAAGAUGAAGUCUAUGAAUGAAGGAAGGGUUUUAAGGUAGGCUUUGCAGGAUUCUGUGGAUGACUCAAGUGAAGGAAUGAUGCAGGUCACUUGAAAAUUUGGGUGAAGCUUCACAAGUCGCUUGCUGAACUCAAUUAUUGGAACUAUGUGGCCAAAACCAGGGCUUGAAACAAUAGCUAUGUGAGUUGUUUUUGCCAUGGCAACAGAUUGUAGAUGUUUACCUGCUCACAAUUUCGUGACAGCCGUUUAUUAUGUUUUCUUUAUGACGAAAAUGUUGUCUUGAUCUAUAGCAAAGCACUCCACUGGUUUAUUGCUUUCUAUUUUAUUACAAGCAAUAGGUGUUUACAAAAUUAGCUAAACUUGUUAUUUGUCUGAUACUUUCGUGUGACUUAUUUAUAUUCAAUAAUUACGUAAUGCUAUGUGGCAUUAUUGAUACAUCAAAUAAUUUAGUUUAACUUUUUGUUUUUGAAUUAAAGUCCAAUGAUUUUUUUUAAAAUAUUAUAUUUUUUAUCUUUAGUUUAGUAUUUUAUUAAAAGAUAUUUUUAUCUCUAAUUAAUUUAUAUUUUUUCUAAUUUUAAAUAUAGUCUUUCCUUUCCUGCAUAUAAUCUUUCUUAUCAUCAUCAACACUAGAGCACGAGCACUUUCUGUCUCUGCAUUCUUGUGCAAAAAUUAAGUGUUAUUAAUAUAUUUUUUUUUACCUUUUAAAAAAUAAAAUGCUCUAAUUAUAUAUAAUAAAUUGAUUUCCUAAUUAUUUUUUAUCUAACAUUAGAACAUCUUUUAUCCAACAUUAGAACAUAUAUUUAAUAAAAUUUUGAAAUAUAUAUUUUAUCUUUAUCUUGAUUUUUUAAAACAAGUUAGAUAAGAAAAUAUUAUGCAUUUGACAAGGAAAAUUAUAAAUAUUUUCCUCUCUAAUUUAAAAAAUUAAGAUAUAUAUCAAAAUUUAUUAAAUAUACUAGUUCUAAUUUUGAAUAAAAUAUAUAUCUUGGCGGGAUAUAUAUGUUCAGGUCUAAAAGAGACGAAUUUAUAUUUUUUUAACUCAUUCUUAUUCUUGUUGGAUUUUAUCAUAUUUGGAUAAACUAGUGGCAAACUAGUUAUAUUAUAUCACAUUUUUAUAAUUUUAAUUUACUUAAUUACAUUAAAAUUUUAUAUUUAUAAUUUAUUUUAAUUUAUGUUUUGUCUUGGGAAAAAAAUACUCUAGUUUGGUUCUUAUUAUCUAUCAUCGACAUAAUAUCAUUUCAUAUUAAAGCUUAUAUAUUUUUAUUCUUUAUUCUCUAUCAUCUUUCAUCGACAAAAUAUCAUUGCAUUGAUUUUUUUUCUAUAAAAAAAUUAAUGUCUGAUUUUAUUUUCUUUAUAAUUUGAGUUUUUAUUAGUGUUUUUUAUUUUCUUAAAAAAUAUUUUAAGUCGUCUAUUAUCAAUUUAUCAAAGAUGCAUUAGAUGUUGAUAUGUCACAAUCAACUAACAAUUCAUUAAAAUAAAUAUUUAUGAAAGUAACACAUUAAAAAAUAGUUUAAAACUUUUAGAUUGGUUGUCUAAAAUAAUUUUAUAUUGUAAUUCAAUUAUAAAUAAUUAUUUAUAUGAAUUUUAAAGUAGUUAUUAUAAAAGUUAAAAAAUAUCAUAGAUGAUAAAUUAUGAUUUGAUUACUGUAUAAAAUUUAUACUAUAUGACUUUUUCUUUCUUAAAAAAGCUAUACUACCAAUAGGAUAAUACUUUUUAAUCACAUGUGAUGUUUUUAUUUGAAUAAUAAAAGUCAUGAAAUAUAACAAUUAUUUCAAUCUGAUUAUGUAAAAUAAUAUAAAAAUAUUACAAUACCAGCCAGAUACUGCAUAUGCACUAAUUAAGCAGCAUAUAUAUUAUCUAUUACUACCAACUCCCCUGCAAUUUGUCACUUACUUUGUCUUUAUUGGUCGUAUUUUUGUUUAGAUUAAUGUGGUUAAUCCAAACUCGUUAAGUUUUAUAUUGGUUGUGGACGUGGCUUUCAUCGGAAGCUUUUAUCCUCUCUCACGCAUUUGAAAGGCCCAAUGGCUUGUCAACUUUCCUAAAACCUUUUGCUUUCAAUUCAAAUUUUUUAAGAGGUUAGGUUUUUUUCUUCUGUUUCUGCUUAUAUAUUAUUUUUUGCUUUUAGUCUUUUAUUAUUAUUAUUUGUUUAUGUCAAUCUUCCCAUUAUUUGUCAUUUCCAUUAACCUCUGUUGCAAAAACAUUAAUUAAGUUUUUUUUUUCUGUUGAUAAGGGGGCCUAAAGGCCUCCAUAUAUCUUGGCAAGUUUGGAAUACCCUUUUUUACAUUUUAAAUAUUUAUUUGUAAUUUAUAUUAGUGCGUAAUAAGUUUAAUACGUUAAUUUUUUUCAUCUAAUUUAAUUUCUUGUUAGUUUAUACCGUAACAUUUCAUAUAAUAUUAAAAUAUAUAUUGUCAUAGUGAAAAUAAAGAAAGUUCAAUAAGCCUACACUGAACAUGACAUGUAAUGUUAAUUAAGGACUGUAUAGCUAUGCUCACCACCAAUUAACUUGGAAAGCUUUAUAUUUUAAUUUAUUCACUAGAUUGUGACUUGUAUGAGCACCAAGCUUUAGGUGGUUCAGCAAGUUUGUUAAUUUGAAUGAAUCCAUCAUUUACUGGGUAAUUAACAAUAUUAAUAAAUAAUAACACACAUGUAUCUACUACCAAGUUGCAUGCAACAUGUAAGAUGAUGACAAUGAAUUAUGAAAUAGCUGUCUAAAGAAAUCUUGAAACAGAAAAUUGUGAUAUUACUGAUAUGACAAAUUGUACAAUUGUGAACCGAGUUCUUCGCCAACAUAAAUAGCCAAAGGGCUGUAUCUAAACUUAGAAACCUAAAGAUGAAGAUAGAAGGAAACGAACUAAAAACAUAAAAACUAUCCUAUCAGUAUCAGUUAUAAUAAAAUGCUAACUAACUAUAAUUACUAGCUAGAUAGAGUUCUUGAUAUAACUCAAUAUGUAAUUUCAUUACUCUCGAGUGAUUGAGCAUGCAAAAAAAGGCUGGGUCAGGUUUAUUAUUAGGUGUCUCUAUAUCAUACAUUUUGUCAUCUUUCUUAGUUUAUUCUCUUUGGGAGUUUUAGUUUUUUUUUUGUUAUAUCACAUGUAUCCUUCACGGAAAAUAAUUCUAUUCGAGUCGUGGAAUUUGAGGUACUCUAAAAUAAUAACAAAUGCCUUAAAAUUUUAUUAAUCCGAUCUUUCUCAGGCACUUUCCCCCCUCUUUUCUUGAAUACCUUUUCUUCUUGUUAAAUGAUUAUGAAUAGGAGUAUUCCAUUGGAAAUAGUAGUAUUUCAUAAACAGAACAAAAAUCUUUCAAAAAUUUAACAAUUAGAAAAGGAAAGGAGGUAGUAUAUUUAAUUUAGGUUCCGAAAUUAAUGACAUUAAAACUUCUUUUAUUUAUUACAAAAGGAGGAAAAAGAGGACAUAUCCUUCAUUGAAUGAAUUUUAUUUUUGUACUCAUAAAAAAAAUGAUCAAAGUUGGGUGCACCUUUUUGGUUUUAUCUAUUUCUUAGUUCUUACUUUCUACAAAUCUGUCUAUAUAAUGUUUAAAAAAAACAAGUAGAGAAAUAACCCCGAGGACAUGUUGAUCAUAUUCAUAAUUUAAUUUUCUGUUUAUGUGUAACAAGUAGAAAACUCUAUAUUGUCGGUUGCUGCACUUUGUAUUUUCUUGAUUCAGUUUUUAUACUAGUUAAGUUUGGUAUAUUGAUUAUACUUUCAUAUGAGUUCCUUGUUGUGAAGGGGGUUAAACUUUUAUUUUAUCAAAGAAGUAGUGUGGAUUGCCCAGCUUAUUUAUGGUAUAUGUAUCAAGGAGAAUCUCUGUUACAGAUGUUUUUAUCAGUUGCUGUCACUUGUCUAAAUUGGAAUUAUCUUUAUGUUGGGAUUCCAAGCAAUUCAUUUAUCAUCAUUGAGUUUCCCUUCAGUCUUAGCAUUUAUGCAGGAUGUCAGCUUUGAAGUUAUAUUGGGUUGUAACAAUUGAGGUUUAUUGGCUCUUCUUCUUAUCCACAUUCAUCACCUCAACAUACUAAUGAAAGUGAAACGACGAAGAUAGUGAUUAGUUUUUUUUUUUUUUUGGGUCUGCAAAAUAUGUAUAUAUUUAUAUUAAUAAUAUACCAAGAGAUACAAGAAGUAUCUCUCAGAUUGGGGUACACAUGUGUCUACAAACGUUACAGCUCAACAUAUUAAUCAUAAUAAUCACAAUAAAUAUGGACGAUGUCUUGCAUAAUCCUAGAAAUAGAAUGAUCAAAAUUCACGUUGUUGAAUACCUUAUUUUUUCCUGAAUCUCAUUAAAUUCCAGCUGACCGAUCCAUAUAUAACCCACGCAGCUUCUCCAAAAUUGUAAUUCGCAUUCCAAGAUCCGCAAUAACUUAACCAUGAAAAGCACACAAAAUACAACUACUUAAAAACAAUUUAAGAAAAAAGCUAUUUACCUAAACCUCACUCGAAUUUUCCCAGUGACGAGCCAAUUGAGACAGGGUUUGUGUUGAAGAGCCAUCUUUCAGUGCACUAGCAGAGAAAUCUUUUAAACUCAUCAUUCUUUCACGUAUUCCUUUACCUUCUUCCCCUUCCAUCAGACACUUUAUCACCUUCGCAAUUUCCUCCUUCUCUACUAUGCCAUCCUCGUUAAAUUUUGGCCUCAACGUCACUUUUAGUCCAUCGGUUAACAUAACUGCAUUCAUUCUCUGCUCAACAAAGAGUGGCCAUGUUAUUAUAGGCACUCCCUCUUGCACACUCUCCAGAGUUGAGUUCCAACCACAAUGGCUUAGGAACCCUCCAACUGAAUUGUGACUAAGAACCUGAACCUGAGGUGCCCAUGAUGGCACAACCAAACCUUUCUCCUUUGUCCUUUCUAAAAACCCACUUGGUAAAAAUUUCAAAGGGUCCUCCUUUUCAGCCUCAAGGUAAGCAGCAUUAACUGAAUUACUUGGUGCUCUCAAAACCCACAAGAACCUUUGACCACUCAAUUCCAAACCCGAGGCUAACUCAUUGAUUUGGUUCUGAGAGAGUGUUCCACCACUUCCAAAAGAAACAUACAACACUGAACAAGGUGGCUGCUUGUCCAACCAACUCAAACACUAACCAGACUCAUCAACCUCAUCUCUUGACCCUUUUUGCGUAAUGGGUCCAACUGGGUACAGUCUGAUCUUCCCAUUUUCAUACUCUUCCAAUGCUCUUAUAGCACCUGAUUCCAUUUCUAAGAAGGUGUUGAUAAUUAUCCCAUCUGCGGUAGCUAUUGCUUUGGUACGUUCAAGAAAAGACUUGUAAGCUUCGCUUGAUCUACUUUGGGUUGAAGCUGGAAGAUCAACCCCCAAAAUUGGUACACAACCUUGUAACUUUAUAGGUUCUGUUAGGUCCUUGUACUCACCUGAAACUUCCUCAUCAAGUUUUGGCAUGUGUAGAGCCAGUGACAGUACCAUGGCUGAACAAGGGGUGUAAAAAUAGGAUAGUGCGUUGAACUCCUUUGCGAAUUCCAAGGUUGGAAAUGCAAAAGUAUCUGCAACCAACGCUGUUAAAGGAAAUUUAGAGGACAAGGAUUUCAGGGCCUCAUGUAUUGAUGGCAGAGAAAGAGUAAUAGUGACUGCAGGGUUUACUCCUUGGGGUAAUUGUUGUUUGUUAAUGGGAGGAAGUAAGAUGGUGUCUAUGUUUGAAGGAAGAGUCUUAAGGUAGGCUUUGGAGGAUUCUGGGGGUGACCCAAAUGAGGGAAUGAUGCAGUUGACAUGAAAAUUUGGGUGAAGCUUGAUAAGUAGCUUGCUGAACUCAACUAUAGGGACUAGGUGGCUGAAACCAGGACCUGAAACAAUAGCUAUGUGAGUUGUUUUUGCCAUGAAAACAGAACAUAUACUAUAGAUAUGUUUGCCUCCAAAAUGUGGUGAAAGCUAAAUAUGAUGCUCUCUUUAUGAUAAAAAAAAAAGGUUGUUUUUUGUUAUCCAAUUUAUCCCCAUAAUAGGAAUUUGAAAGAAGCAUACCUUGGUUUGACUUUUUUUAUUUGAAUGUUAUUUACAAAUAGCUUUCAAGGAGGAGGAUCCGAUGAUGUAAGUGCUUAGGCAAACUUGGUUUGACUUUCUUUAUUUACUAGUUUUUCUUUCUAGUUUGUUUUUUUUAUUUUCUAUGUUUGGAAUGAGGGUGAAAAGAAAAGAAAAAAAAAUUUAAAAUUUGAAUUAAAAGAAAAAAUUUAAAAUUUAUGGUUGUAUAAGUCAAUUUUUUUUUCUUUUUUCUUUUCAUUUACUCUUAAUCUAAAUAAAAGAAAAUAUUUGGUUAUAUAUGUUUUUCUUUUUCUUUAUUUUCUUUUCUUUCUAUCAUUAAUAUGUGUUGAAUUGUAUAGAAGAGAAAAAAAUUUAAAAAAUAUUUAAAUUAAAGUGAAAAAAAUGAGACCCAUAUUAAUUUUUUUAAAAUUUCUUCUCAAACAGUGAUUUUCUCUAUUCAAUCAAACCAUCCUUCGGCUUGACGUGAUUUACCCAAACUUAUUUGGGGUUUAUUGGUUGUGGACUUAGCUUUCAUCCAGAAAGUUUGCUUUGAUUCUUCCUCUUACAUUCGUAAGGUCCAAUGACUUUUAGUGAGUUAAUUUCCUAUAACAUUUUUGCUUUCCGUUCAAAUUCUUUAAUUCCUAUUGUUUCUUUUUUAUACUGGUUUAGUCUUUUAGUUUUUCAACUCUCACUCACUUAAAUAAAUGAAAACAAUUGAAGUUUUGAAACAUACGUUAUCAAUUUAAUGGUCAGUAUAUCUUUUCAAGUUUGAAAUAGAUAUUUUUAAGAGCACUGCUCCUUUUUUUAAAAAAACAAACAAACAGAAGAACUACUAUUAUAUAUUAUACUAGAGAGUGUAACCCAUAACAUACACGGUAAAUAUUGUUUAUCAAUAUUCAUAUUUCUUAUCUCGUGUAAAAUAAGUGCUUAUAAUUUUAGGAUAAAGAUUACUAAGUCUUAUUUGGGUUAUUAUCAUUAAGGUUUGAAUUAGUAUUUUUUGGUCUUGGAUAAGACACCAUGCAUAUUUUUCAAUUAACUAUGUUAACGAUUAAUUUCAUCAGUUAUAAGUAUAUGUCGUUAAUCUAAGAUAAUUUUGCAUACUAAAAAAAUUAAAGAUAAUCUUUUUGACUAAUAUUUUUUAUUUAUUUGUGAAAAUUGGUUCUUAUGCUAUUCAAUAUUUCUGUGCUGAAAAUGGUUAUAUCACGUGAUUAAAAUACUAUCCAUUUAUUGUCAAAUUAAAAAAUUAUUCAUAUUCUCUAUGAUUUCAAUUAAAUUUAUAAUCAUCAAUUUAAAAUGAAGUUAUAAGUAUAAGAAUUGAUGGUAAAAUAUCGAAUCAGCCAGGUGGUCGGAAGGGUAGCUUACAGCUUUCCACUUUGCAGGACGUAAUAAUUAUUUUUGGCUCACGUAAUAACUAGUUGUUUUAUACUAAUAUGAUCUAUGAAUUAUAUCUUAAUGGUGCAGUGUGGAUGAUUAGUCAUGUAUAAUGCAUGUUACAAUAAGAAUUCUAAUACUAUAUUGAACUUAAUUAAAUUAAUUAAUUUAAACUUAAAUAUGUUAAAAAAAUUAUAUAUAUUUAACUUCUUUUAAUAAAUUUUUUAUUAUUUUGAGUCUUUUAUAUUUUAAAAAAUUUAUUUCAGAUUUUUAUGGAUUAUUGAAAUGAUUGUUGAAAUGAUGAUAACUUAAAUAAUUAUUAAAAUAACUUCGACUAAUCAUCCAUUUUAAAAAAUGAAAAAUAAUAAAAUAUAAACAUAUGACCCCACUCUAAUUUUUAAAACUUUUUACUCAAAUAAAUAAAAGGAAUUAAAUCAAACACAACCUUAAAACCUAAAAUGUACAAAUAAACAAGGAGUGGACGUCAAAUUUUCUUUAGAGACAAACGUAAAAUUCAACUUGAAUAUCAAUCAACAUCUCUUUCAUGUGUCAACGAUACCCUACAUCUCCCGAAACCUCAAGUACCCCACAAACAAAACAAAUUAAGAAAAACACACAAAACACAACUUCGUAAAGCAAUUUAAAUGAAAAACUAUUUUCCUAAACCUGACUCGAAUUUUCCCAGUGACGAGCCAAUUGAGAUAGGGUUUGUGUUGAAGAGCCAUCUUUCAGUGCAUUAGCAGAGAAAUCUUUUAAAUUCAUCAUUCUUUCACGCAUUCCUUUACCUUCUUCCCCUUCCAUCAGACACUUUAUCACCCUCGCAAUUUCCUCCUUCUCCACUAUGCCAUCCUCGUUAAAUUUUGUCCUCAACGCCACUUUAAGUCCAUCGGUUAACAUAACUGCAUUCAUUCUCUGCUCAGCAAAGAGUGGCCAUGUUAUUAUAGGCACUCCCUCUUGCACACUCUCCAAUGUCGAGUUCCAACCACAAUGGCUCAGGAACCCUCCAACUGAAUUGUGACUAAGAACCUGAACCUGAGGUGCCCAUGAUGGCACAACCAAACCUUUCUCCUUUGUCCUUUCUAAAAACCCACUUGGUAAAAAUUUCAAAGGGUCCUCCUUUUCAGCCUCAAGGUAAGCAGCAUUAACUGAAUUACUUGGUGCUCUCAAAACCCACAAGAACCUUUGACCACUCAAUUCCAAACCCGAGGCUAACUCAUUGAUUUGGUUCUGAGAGAGUGUUCCACCACUUCCAAAAGAAACAUACAACACUGAACAAGGUGGCUGCUUGUCCAACCAACUCAAACACUUACCAGACUCAUCAACCUCAUCUCUUGACCCUUUUUGUGUAAUGGGUCCAACUGGGUACAGUCUGAUCUUCCCAUUUUCAUACUCUUCCAAUGCUCUUAUAGCACCUGAUUCCAUUUCUA